GGCAUGCUGCGGGACCUAGAGUCAAGUCCCCGCCCACCACUCUCACGCGCUUCGAAAAUGCAGGAGACCCAGGCCCAGCUGGCCCCACCCCCACUGGGAGAGCCAGGCC